rfam:Schistosoma rodhaini strain Burundi genome assembly, scaffold: SROB_scaffold0000711
AUGUAACUGACGAGUCCUAAAUAGGACGAAAAGCACAUCCUGGAU